rnacentral:rRNA from 1 species
GUCUAAGGCCAUAGCAACCUCAACAUUCCCAAUCUCAUCUGAUCUCAAAAGCUAAGCAGGGUCAAGCCUGGUUAGUACUUGGAUGGGAGACAAAUAUUCAGAAGAGACUACUCAGAGACAAACGGUUUGGAGA